GCCUGAAUACGGGUGGGACGGAAGGGGAAGCUCUUGGCAGCCGGGCUGGCUUCAAGGCCUUGAAGAGUCAUGGCCUUGCCAUCAGUCCUAUCUGAUGAGGGGGAAAGAGGCAUUGGCUUGGAAGUGCCAGAGGCCACAACUAGCUUCAACAUUUUUAAGUACUAACUGGCUGAGUUAGAUGUGUUGGACUUGAGACUUGACAUUUCUCUGGAACCUGAAGCACGGAAUCCCUUUGAGGACACCCUAGAAUGUCUGAAAUGUGACGUCACUAUCCCCAUGGCUACUGCCUGCUCUGGACCUUUAUCGUCUCUCACCUGGACUGGUAUCACGACUUCCAGUUGGCUCCCCCUUUCCUCAGUCUUUUCCCCUGCCAACUCCAUCAUUCUUGCCGCUGUUAAAACUUUCUUCCUCGAAUACAGAACAGAUGAAUUGGAGAAAGACCACUCACCCUUGGCUCUAGAGCUGUCAUCAGUGUUGCUCAACCACACGCGUGUGAAGACAUGAAGAACUGAGCCCACCAACUGAGUCAGAACUCCUGGGGUGGGGUGUAUUUUUCCCAGGACACCUCAGUCACCUGCAGUCAAAAGAUGCCAUCCCCCAAUCCCACCUCCCCCUGACCCCAUGAGGAAGCCUUGAGAUUUACUCCCGACCUCACAUCCCUCUCCAGAAUCCACUUCCUUGGACGGAGAUGUUUACAUCCUAUAGCCCUUUUUCUGUGUGUCCUUCCCGGAUGACGUUAUCUGCCAAGUAGCUGAGCACAUCACUACAUUUGACAAGGAAUAGCCUCAUCUGAUUCCCUCCACUUGUGAGCUCAUAGUUGUAUCUUCUCUAAAUCCACAGCAAGCCUACCGAGCCUAAAAUUCGAGGGCACCAGUAAAGACACCUGGAAAAGGCCAUUUCCAUGAAGACAGAGGCAAUUCCUCUUUCCUUCUCUGCUGUGCCCCCAAGCCUCAGCAUGGUGCAUGGUAAACAGUGAGCUUCAGUAAACCUUUGUUAAGUGAAAGAAUCAACAAAUAGAAGUGGUUUGUCCAGCUUCUGGUUUACUUGCUGCCCUCCAGUUUCCAGUGGUUUAGGAUUCCGCAUAACCAGCAGUGUAUGAGGGAGAUGAGGGGACAGAGACUCCUGAGGUCCUCACCAGUCCAGGGCACUGAGGUGGUGAACUCAGAGCAUCUCCCACUCAGUCGUCACAUUCACAGGUUAUUACUGCUCACUUCACGUACUCAGACCCGCCUCUGAGCCCCAGGAGCCCACCAGACCUCACAGCAGCUCCAGCCUCCUGUCCCUCAUGUGGAUGACAGCGGGAAGCGUUCCACGUUCUUCUCCAGAUCCUGGGGCGCGAGCCACCAUUGCCCCCAGCAGCCGCCUUGUCUUGGCUUCUUCCUGGGGUCACUUUUCUGGCUCCCUCACUCCUGCUUCCUGGGACUACCCCCCAAAUAAACUUUCUGCACCCAAGUUCUUGUCUCAGACUUUACUUUCAAGGAACCCCAAACCAAGGCAUACGGUUAGACAAAAUAUCCUAUCGUGGACAUUUUUCUGCCCCAAAUUUCCAUCUUGCAAAACUUUCAAUUAUUUAUCCUUUUAUUAACUGCUAUCCUCUCAAAAUUUCUGCUUCUCAAUAAACUGAAAGAGCUUAGACAAGUCACUGACCAUUCCUAGGCCUCAUUUCCCCAUCAAUAAAAUGGCAACAAU
ensembl:lncRNA